AUAGGUAGGAGAUCUUGGUUAUGCUCCUGAGCUUGGAAAUUAUGCAGAGUAUAGUGGUGCACCCAAGGAAGAUGAAGUCUUGCAGCAUGCCAGAGUUGUGAUUGAUUGUGCAACUUCAGACCCUGAUGGCCAAAAGCGAGCCCUUGUGAUAGGGGGAGGAAUAGCUAACUUUACCGAUGUUGCUGCUACAUUCAGCGGCAUAAUUCGCGCUCUGAAGGAGAAGGAACAAAAGCUAAAAGAAGCAAAGAUGCACAUUUAUGUGAGGAGAGGAGGUCCCAACUACCAAAAGGGUCUAGCUAAAAUGAGGGCACUUGGAGAGGAAAUUGGCAUCCCCAUUGAGGUUUAUGGACCUGAAGCAACAAUGACUGGUAUAUGCAAACAGGCAAUCCAGUGUAUCACUAUUGCUGCUUAGUUAUCCAUUAUUAGGUCAAUGCCUUCUUCUACAAGUAUUUUCAUGGCUAGUUUGAAGUGAUUGUUGAUUCUUAAUUCCCUUUACCACUCUCGGAAUUGAUGAGCAUAGGUUGUUAUAAAUUAGUCAUUUAGUCAUCCAAUAAAGUGGUCAAGAGUGUUUUGUAUCGUCUAGAAUUCUGGUAGUACAGUGUUGAGACAAUAAAGUGCCAAAUGUAAUUGUUAUAUGUUAAGCUGCAAUUUCAUUGUUCCGGAUUUACUUUCAUUUAGUAAAUUGGUUUUCUUUCCA